GACGAACCGUGCAAACGUUAUUCGGAAUCACUGGGCAUAAAGGGCGCGUAGGCGGCUCCAAAAGUCAGGGGUGAAAUCCGGCAGCUUAAUUGUCGCAGUGCCUUUGAUACUGUGGAGCUAGAGGGAGGUAGGGGUCUGUGGAACUUCCGGUGGAGCGGUGAAAUGCGUUGAUAUCGGAAGGAACGCCGGUGGCGAAAGCGGCUACCUGGACGGUAACUGACGCUGAGACGCGAAAGCGUGGGUAGCAAACAGG
rnacentral:rRNA from 1 species